CCCUGGAAUCCCAGAUAUUUGAGAUUAUUAUUGGUAUUAACCUAAUAUUUAACCCCAAGCAAUUGCAGUGACUAAUUCUUAGGGCCUUUACUUGAAAGUCUUGCAGGAACUUACAAGUGAGGGUCAGCAUGAUCAUCUCAUUUCCAUGGUGGGAAAACCAAGGCACUGUGGAAAGUAAAAGGACACUCCUAUUGCUGGGAAGAGAACUGGGAUCUUCUGAAUCAGCUCAGGGCCUACUGAAUUGCCCUAGUCUGAGGCUAUUCCCAGUGAAUGGAAUUAAAUAUGCAUCAGUGAUGGCACUGCCUUGGAAUCUGUCCAGUGAUGGUUUGGUUAUUCUCCAGACUGUACUGAGGUGUUGUGGCAUUUUCACCUCUUCAUGAUAAAAGCAACAGGUCAAAUGCUGGAUUUUGAAAUCUGGAACUUUGCAGCAUCAAAGGAAAAGACAUUAAAAAGAAAAAAAAAAAAAAGGCUAUCAUAUUAGCCUCCCCUUUUCCUCUUUCACCAGUAAUUUUAUCACAAAUUGUAGGAAUUAGUCUUGCAGUUUCAAAGCUGCACAUCCACGUGAACUGAUUGGUGCAGCCUGUAUUUGCAGAUGUAACAGAGCUGGGAGUAACUGCUAUUCUUCACUAGCAGUGGAGACAUACUGGAAAUUGAGAAAAUUCUGAGUCUGCAUUGUAUUUCCUGAUAAAUUCCAAUUUCCCUGCCACUAUGAUAGAAAGCAAGCUGAGAUUUGAUGAAUGAAAUUGAGACUCGCUGUGAAACAGAGCAACAGCUUUGAAGAGGUGCCAGAUUUCAGCAAAGGUGAAUAAAAAAGAAGUAGACAUUUCUGAAUAAGCUGCCUUUCCUCUCUUCAAAAACAAAUCACCUUCUUGUAAAUUAUCUUCUCAGGUGAGAAUCCAUCCUUCACAGAACAGGAGACAGGCUGUGCAACAGAGCCAGUUGAUAGAUGUUAAAAGACAAACCACCAAAAGUCAAACGUGUCUUUGGAAAACAGUAUUAAGUAAUAUUUUAAAGAAUGGCUACACAUCAUAUUCACACAAAUGCCAAUAGGAAGCACAGCUCAGGAAAAGAAAAGCUUUCAGAUAAUCUCUACCCAUUAUGAAGGCAAAACCUCAACAUCACUAACACAUCUUAACUCAUUUUCAGCCGUCGCCCUGCUCACAUUUGAUGCUGUACCGUGUAUAUAUUUCAUACUUCAGCACAAAUUUUAUCAAGAGGUUUAUUCACUGAAAUGUGCAAAAUCCAUAAAAAAAACCCUCACUACAUUAAUAUUUCAUAUCUCACAUACUUAUCAUAUCCAGGGGACAGUGGUCUAAAGUGGGAAUUCUCAAAAAUGCUCUGUGUUGGUGACAUAGGGCUGCUGGUGCCAGUAGUAAAAUGUUGAGUAUCACUGUGCAUCGAGUGAUGCGAGUGUUUCUGCAGGCUUGUGUCUCUAACUAGACCAGAAUUUAAGUCAUUUUGGUAAGAAUUGCAAACUGUGGUCAUAGACCCCAUGGAGCCUUUCUCAUCUAGGUCCUCCAGCUGAAGUCUCCUGCCCACAGCCACCAGCAGUGCUGGUUGCAGUGUAACCAAGUUGGAAAAAAAGACACUACAUUGUGGCAACAUAUAAAUGUGAUUUUGUACAGUACUUGUAAGAAAAAAAUUCUGAGGGAAGAAAAUAUUUUCUUCUCUCCUGUCUACCUUGAAAAAAGGACUCUCAGCCUUGUUGUAAAACAUGUCCUUAUAUGGAUAGUUUUCUUAAGAAAGCCCAACAACACCUGAAGUUGAUAUCUAUCAGCUGUGUUUGGGUCCUAGCAAGGAACACCUGGCUCUGAAACAUUAGCAGCAGGUGCCACUAAUUGAGUACUUACUGGCUAAACACCUGCCAAAAAAAAAAAAAAAAAAAA
ensembl:lncRNA